rnacentral:rRNA from 1 species
GACGGAGGGUGCUAGCGUUGUUCGGAAUGACUGGGCGUAAAGGGCGCGUAGGCGGCCGCUUGCGUCGGAUGUGAAAGCCCCGGGCUUAACCUGGGAACUGCGUUUGAUACGGAUGGGCUAGAGUUCGGGAGAGGAGAGUGGAAUUCCCAGUGUAGAGGUGAAAUUCGUAGAUAUUGGGAAGAACACCGGUGGCGAAGGCGGCUCUCUGGACCGAGACUGACGCUGAGGCGCGAAAGCGUGGGGAGCAAACAGG